rnacentral:rRNA from 1 species
AGCAGCCGCGGUAAUUCCAGCUCCAAUAGCGUAUAUUAAAGUUGUUGCAGUUAAAAAGCUCGUAGUUGAAUUUCGGGAUCAGUACGCUGGUCGUGCCUUCGGUAUGAACUGGUGUCACUGGUUCCUCCCUUCUGAAGAACCGUCAUGCCAUUCAGUUGGUGUGGCGGGGAAUCAGGACUGUUACUUUGAAAAAAUUGAGUGUUUAAAGCAGGCUCGCGCUUGAAUACAUUAGCAUGGAAUAAUGAAAUAGGACGUUUGACCCUAUUUUGUUGGUUUCUAGGAUCGACGUAAUGAUUAAUAGGGAUAGUUGGGGGCAUUAGUAUUCAAUUGUCAGAGGUGAAAUUCUUGGAUUUAUUGAAGACUAACUACUGCGAAAGCAUUUGCCAAGGAUGUUUUCAUUAAUCAAGAACGAAAGUUAGGGAUCGAAGACGAUCAGAUACCGUCGUA